rnacentral:rRNA from 1 species
CCUACGGGAGGCAGCAAUGAGGAAUAUUGGUCAAUGGACGCAAGUCUGAACCAGCCAUGCCGCGUGCAGGAAGACGGCUCUAUGAGUUGUAAACUGCUUUUGUACGAGGGUAAACGCAGAUACGCGUAUCUGUCUGAAAGUAUCGUACGAAUAAGGAUCGGCUAACUCCGUGCCAGCAGCCGCGGUAAUACGGAGGAUUCAAGCGUUAUCCGGAUUUAUUGGGUUUAAAGGGUGCGUAGGCGGUCGGAUAAGUUAGAGGUGAAAUCCCGAGGCUCAACUUCGGAAUUGCCUCUGAUACUGUUCGGCGAGAGAGUAGUUGCGGUAGGCGGAAUGUAUGGUGUAGCGGUGAAAUGCUUAGAGAUCAUACAGAACACCGAGUGCGAAGGCAGCUUACCAAGCUACUUCUGACGUUGAGGCACGAAAGCGUGGGGAGCAAACAGGAUUAGAUACCCUAGUAGUC